CCUGUCCCUGGAGGCACUACCAGUCGGCUGAAUGGCAAAUUCCGAGACCAUUUUGAACACCAACGAAGGCGGGGCUAUUAGAGGCGGACGGGAGGUGGCGCUGUUGCGCUUCACCAGGAUUUUCCAUUUCCACUUGGACGGACGUCUCCAAGAUACCCGAUCGCCAGGCAAUCACCAGAGAAGGAAAUCAGCAAGUGAACCAGCAACGAAGUCCAGCUUUGACAGUUUCAGCAGAGAUUUCCCGCUGGCUAGCUUGCGGUGAGUCCCGGAAACCCCCGCUCCCGCAGACUUCCCUUUGCGGGGAGCCCGCCCCAGCUCCAUCCUUCGCGGCAGCGCCGCCCCACGGUGGGAAGGAGAGCCUGAAAAGCAUUUCCUUGAGGCGGACGCCCCUCGUCGUGCCCAAACCCGUCACUUUCUCGUUUUAACUGCAUGUCGAAUUGCAUCUGAAACCAGCGCGCGGAGGAGGGACACGCUUCUGGAAGCUGCCUGCAUUUCUCAGCAGGAUUCUUCCACUGUCUUGAGAGCUCGACCAGGUCUUCCUCACGUCCUGCAUGCUGACACUGACGCUUCUACCUCCUUUCACAUUUCAGGAUCCUUGUGAUUACAUUGGACUCGCUGGAUGAUUCAGAAUAAUCUCCCUAUUUUAAGAAAAUGAAGGUUGGAAGUGGACUUGGAAUUUUCAGGAGGUUCUUCCAAGUUUAAAAGCAAAUCUCUCAGCCCUUUGAUCAUACUGUACCUGUGUACAGGCUUUGAAGGAAAGUCACACUCUUGAGACCAUUGUGGUGGGAUGGUCGUAAUCAAAACUGGAGAAGCUGAAG